rnacentral:rRNA from 1 species
UGAUCCUGGCUCAGAACGAACGCUGGCGGCGUGCUUAACACAUGCAAGUCGGAUGCGAACGGCGCUUUCGGGCGUUGAGUAGCAUGGCAGACGGGUGAGGAGCGCGUAUCUGACUGGACUCAGGCUGGGGGAUAGUCCCUCGAAAGGGGGUUGAAUACCGCAUGUGCUCGGUGCUGUGAGGGCAUCGAGGAAAGUUGGCCUCUGCGGGCACGCUGAUGGCCUGAGACAGGGAUGCGUCCUAUUAGCUAGCUGGUGGGGUAAGGGCCUACCAGGGCGACGAUGGGUAGCUGGUCUGAGAGGAUGAUCAGCCACACUGGGACUGCGACACGGCCCAGACUCCUACGGGAGGCAGCAGUGGGGAAUUUUGCGCAAUGGGCGCAAGCCUGACGCAGCAACGCCGCGUGCAUGACGACGCCUUUCGAGGUGUAAAGUGCUGUCGACCGGGACGAAGGGGCGAGGGUGAACAGCUUUCGCGCAUGACGGUACCGGUGGAGGAAGCCCCGGCUAACUCCGUGCCAGCAGCCGCGGUAAGACGGAGGGGGCGAGCGUUGUUCGGAAUUACUGGGCGUAAAGCGCGCGUAGGCGGUGCAGCAAGUGGUGCGUGAAAGCCCUCGGCUUAACCGGGGACGGGCGUGCCAAACUGUUGGACUGGAGUGCCGGAGGGGGAGGCGGAAUUCCUGGUGGAGCGGUGAAAUGCGUAGAGAUCAGGAAGAACGUCGGUGGCGAAGGCGGCCUCCUGGACGGACACUGACGCUGAGGUGCGACAGCGUGGGGAGCGAACGGGAUUAGAUACCCCGGUAGUCCACGCCGUAAACGAUGGGUACUAGGUGUGGGGCUUGUGAUGAGGCCCGUGCCGGAGCUAACGCCAAAGUAAGUANNCCCCCGGCACUGGGGAGNUACGGUCGCAAGGCUGAAACUCAAAGGAAUUG